AUACAGAUCACCUGGGGAUCUUGUUACAAAGCAGAUUCAGAUUUAAUUGGUCUGAAGCAGGGCACAAAAUUCUGCAUUUCUAACAAGCUUCCAGGUAAUGCUGAU
rnacentral:pre_miRNA from 1 species